rnacentral:rRNA from 1 species
GAUGAACGCUGGCGGCGUGCUUAACACAUGCAAGUCGAACGGAAAGGCCCAAGCUUGCUUGGGUACUCGAGUGGCGAACGGGUGAGUAACACGUGGGUGAUCUGCCCUGCACUUCGGGAUAAGCCUGGGAAACUGGGUCUAAUACCGGAUAGGACCACUUCUUGGAUGUUGUGGUGGAAAGUUUUUCGGUGUGGGAUGAGCUCGCGGCCUAUCAGCUUGUUGGUGGGGUAAUGGCCUACCAAGGCGUCGACGGGUAGCCGGCCUGAGAGGGUGUACGGCCACAUUGGGACUGAGAUACGGCGCAGACGCCUACGGGAGGCAGCAGUGGGGAAGAGUGCACAAUGGGCGCAAGCCUGAUGCAGCGACGCCGCGUGGGGGAUGACGGGCUUCGGGUUGUAAACUUCUUUCGCUAGGGACGAAGCGUAUUUUGUGACGGUACCUGGAGAAGAAGCACCGGCUAACUACGUG